ensembl:snRNA U2 U2 spliceosomal RNA
AUUGCUUUUUGGAUUUUUGGCUAAGAUCAAGUUUAGUAUCUGUUCUUAUUGGUUUAAUAUAUGAUAUGUCCUCUGUCCUGUAUUAGAUUGUAUUACAUCUAUUGCAAACACUGACAGGAGCCCUUGACAAAUAUAUGAUCAGAGCCGGUGCCGCGGCUCACUAGGCUAAUCCUCCGCCUUGCAGCGCUGGCACACC